rnacentral:rRNA from 2 species
ACACGGCCCAAACUCCUACGGGAGGCAGCAGUAGGGAAUCUUCCACAAUGGACGCAAGUCUGAUGGAGCAACGCCGCGUGAGUGAAGAAGGCUUUCGGGUCGUAAAACUCUGUUGUUGGAGAAGAAUGGUCGGCAGAGUAACUGUUGUCGGCGUGACGGUAUCCAACCAGAAAGCCACGGCUAACUACGUGCCAGCAGCCGCGGUAAUACGUAGGUGGCAAGCGUUAUCCGGAUUUAUUGGGCGUAAAGCGAGCGCAGGCGGUUUUUUAAGUCUGAUGUGAAAGCCCUCGGCUUAACCGA